UGGGGAGUACGGUCGCAAGAUUAAAACUCAAAGGAAUUGACGGGGACCCGCACAAGCGGUGGAUGAUGUGGAUUAAUUCGAUGCAACGCGAAAAACCUUACCUACCCUUGACAUGUCUGGAAGCUUCGAGAGAUUGAAGUGUGCUCGCAAGAGAACCGGAACACAGGUGCUGCAUGGCUGUCGUCAGCUCGUGUCGUGAGAUGUUGGGUUAAGUCCCGCAACGAGCGCAACCCUUGUCAUUAGUUGCUACGAAAGGGCACUCUAAUGAGACUGCCGGUGACAAACCGGAGGAAGGUGGGGAUGACGUCAAGUCCUCAUGGCCCUUAUGGGUAGGGCUUCACACGUCAUACAAUGGUCGGGACAGAGGGUCGCCAACCCGCAAGGGGGAGCCAAUCCCAGAAACCCGAUCGUAGUCCGGAUUGCAGGCUGCAACUCGCCUGCAUGAAGUCGGAAUCGCUAGUAAUCGCGGAUCAGCAUGUCGCGGUGAAUACGUUCCCGGGUCUUGUACACACCGCCCGUCACACCAUGGGAGUGGGUUUUACCAGAAGUAGUUAGCCUAACCGCAAGGGGGGCGAUUACCACGGUAGGAUUCAUGACUGGGGUGAAGUCGUAACAAGGUAGCCGUAUCGGAAGGUGCGGAUGGAUCACCUCCUU
rnacentral:rRNA from 1 species